AACCGCGCGUUGCUACGCUGACCGACGGCUUGAGCGAUGCUUCCCGUCAAGCGUUGUGAUCUGCUCGUGAGUGGGAGCUCACAUGUUCGGGGUACCACGACCGGCUUCGAGUUUACGAAUUAGUGAGAGCUCGUGAAUUUCGGAACUUCUGUUUUAUUCGCCAGAAUGAGCCCCAGGACAGUAUGCUUGUCGAAACAAACGGUCAGCCUAGAGCCUCAAGCAUUCAAAUUGACUUCAAAAUUGGAGCCUUCAAGCGUGCGGCGUAGAGUGGACUCGACGAGCAGCCCCGACGGGACUCCCAGCACAAGCGCACAUCCGAGAUUCCGCAACAUCGAGGAUCGUCUCGCUACAUUCGGGAACCUUUUCGACCCGCAGCUAGCGGACUUGGGGUUUUUCGUAGAAGAGCAAUGCCUGAAAUGUUUCUCCUGUGGUCUGACGCUGGAUAAGGUUCCGGAAAAUGUUAUUGUGGAGCACCUCGUGGAAAAGCCUAGCUGCGAGCACGCACGAUUCGUCCACACCUUGCAGCGCAUGCAGUCGCUCUCGGAACGACUGAAGUCAUUCGAGAACGUUCACACUAACCUUAGAGAAAGUCUCGCAAGGGCAGGAUUCUUCUAUCGGAGAACAGAUCAGCGUACACAAUGUGCUUAUUGCCGGAUAGUUGUCGAGAGCUGGGUCGGCGUUGACAAUGUUUUCGACGAGCACGCGAAGCUCGCCGUAACCUGUCCCUUCGUCUUGAAUCCACCGGACUACGCUCUAAGCGAGGAACGUGAGGCCGGGCAUGAGAGAAACCUCAUCAGACAUCGCGGUCCUGAGUACAAGAACAUGGUGACGACGGACGCUCGACUCCGAACCUUCGAAAAUUGGACGGGCGGCAUCGAUAAGAGUAGGCUCGCGGAAUCAGGACUUUUCAGUCUGGGAGUACAAGAUUUCACAAAAUGCUUCCAAUGCGGAGGCGGAUUGUGUGGCUGGCAGGCUGACGACGACCCAUGGCACGAACACGCGCGUUGGUAUCCAGAUUGCGAGUUCGUGCUCCUAGUCAAGGGCCGCGAAUUCGUCGAGGCGGCUUUGGCGAGGCGGAACCCCGAAGCCUCAGACCUCAAACGCCAAGAUUCCACGGAGCCCGCCCUAUCACCGGCACUGGCGAACGAGCUCGAUAUCAUAAUGAACAGCCAGGAGUCCGCGAAAAUCGAGAAAGAAGGUGUCCAGCGAAGUGUUGUCCGGGUCGCUCUGAAGAGCUUCAUGGUCCGAGAGCAGCGAGGAUUCAAUUCGCCUGAGGAGCUCGCGGCUCUUCUGGAAUCGACCCUUAAUUUGAAGCCCCUGACGGGAUCAGGCCCCCCGGAUCGAGCUAUUCAGGAGAGCAGCGACCAAAGUCACGAGGAAAUGCUUUGUGUCGUAUGCCUCAAUGACAAGAGAGGGGCGGCAUUCGUGCCUUGCGGCCAUAUGGUAGCCUGCCUCAAAUGUGCAGCGACGGUAACGGAUUGUCCGGUGUGCAGACACAGAGUCGAUCAUGUCUUGAGAGUGUUCAUGAAUUGAUAUAUUCUUCAACAGUCCAAGAUUUUUGUCAAUAAACAUGGAAAGUCGGGGCCGCCCGCGGUUGCGAAAGAUCUCAAUGAAGAUUCUGAUUUUCGCAGGGCGGAAAUCGAGUCGACCAUCGAGCCCGGAGAAU